GCCAGCGUGGUCUAGUGGUUUGAGCAUUGGACUGCGACUCUGGAGAUCAGGGUUCGAGUCACCACUUGGCC